GUGUGUGUUGUUGAGGUGUGUGUUGAGGUGUGUGUUGAGGCGUGUGUUGAGGCGUGUGUUGAGGUGUGUGUCGAGGUGUGUGUUGAGGUGUGUGUUGAGGCGUGUGUUGAGGUGUGUGUUGAGGUGUGUGUUGAGGGGAGUGCGGACCCCCUUCAUCCUGAGCCCGGAGCUCUGCUGGGGGACAACGCGGCCCUCCCCCCGGAGUCCUUUACAUAAUCAAUCUUCAAAAGUGUGUUGAGACGCCGUGAUUAAUAUUGGUUUAUCGGGCGACUGCCCUUUUGGCGGGGCGCCGGAGGAAGCCACAGCUUAGGGGACCGGGAGUUUAUACAGCGCCGUCAGGUGACCGCGGGGCCAGUCAAUAUCCCCCGACUCUGUUUGGAGGAGAGCGAGCGGGGGGGGGGAAUUAUAAAUGGCCGCG
ensembl:lncRNA